rnacentral:rRNA from 1 species
UACGGAGGGGGCGAGCGUUAUUCGGAAUUAUUGGGCGUAAAGGGCGCGUAGGCGGCUUGUCAAGUCAAAGGUGAAAUCCCUCGGCUCAACUGAGGAGCUGCCUUUGAAACUAGCGAGCUUGAGGCCGGGAGGGGGUAGCGGAAUUCCCAGUGUAGCGGUGAAAUGCGUAGAUAUUGGGAGGAACACCAGUGGCGAAGGCGGCUACCUGGACCGGUACUGACGCUGAGGCGCGAAAGCGUGGGUAGCAAACAGG